AAAACCCCAGCACCAGGCCCCAAGGACCUCACAGGCCCUCCAACGCAACCCCCUGCAGUCCCAGACCAGCCACCCAGAGGAUGCCAGGCCCUCUCCUCCACACCCCUCUCCUUUGGCAUCAGGGCAGAAGAGAUGCCACCUUCUCACGCUCCAGGCCCAGAGCUGAAGGAUGGGAAAGGACAGUCGAUACUACCCCUGAAACUCCACUGUUUUCAGUGACUGCCUCUCCCUUGGCUAACUGUGAGAUGUCAGUAUGCUUUGCUCCUCCUCUGCUGCAGUAGGCAACAGGAUUGUUCCACCCCAGGCAGCUGCAGGGUGCUUGAGAGCCCCCAGCCCCCACUGACCCAUUGCUACUUUCUUGCCACUGCCUCCCAGAAAUGGCCGCAGGCCCCAACUGCCAGCUGCCAUGUUUGGGCCAGCACGUGGCACUCAGAAUCGUUGCCAUGGCCACCCAACUGCCCUCAACCGCAGUCCCUCAGCUGACCCAGCAAGAGGCAGCUGCCUGAUAGAGUCUCUCGUCAAGAGAUACAUUUUAUUUCUUGUUACUUCUGAGGGCGGGAUGGAGCAGCCACCUUUAAAGAAGAGGCGGCUGAUGAAUGAGGCUGAUGACAUCGAGCCCAUGGAGGUGGACCCGCCUGGCAGCAAAGAAGAGCCCAUGGAGGUGGAUCCACCAGCAGAAGAUGAGCUGAUGGAAGUGGAUCCACCUCCAUCGGGGCACACUGCCCAUCUGUCUGCUGCUGCCAGGCCGACUAGGAAGAGGUCGCGCCCCAAAUGUCACCCCAGGGGCGCCAGGAUCCGUCCACCUCCCGCGAAACGGCCGCCUCGACGCUGGCGCUGAUCCUCCCGUCCUCUCCUACGAGCCCUCCCUUCCCGUUCCCCUCCCUUGUCUUUUCCCAAGUCCUCUCAUCUCUUCACACCAAGUCCUGACGAAGAGGGCAGGGCACGGACUGCCAUCCUUGGAGCUGCUGUGCCGGGGCAGUGGGAUGAGUCCGGUGGAGGGACCUCAGCUGCCGGGGGCCUCAAACAUCGCAGGGCGUGACGAUCCUGCAAGGCUCCCAUGUGAGCCCAUCCUUCCCGUUUCCAUCCAUAAUCACUCCCCAGGGGGACAGGAGGAAUAAAAAGAAGUCACAGACGCAGCUGUCCGCAUGGAGAACCAGGCUUUGGUUUGGACAGGAAGCAGUGCAAACUGCAACAAGAAGGUCCAGUCCAGGUGCUGCGUUAGGACUUUCACUUCAAGACUGCACAAUCAACAACUUAGAACAACAUUACCAAAUAAUUAAAAAAAAAAAUCAAAACCACAAUACAAAAUAAACACAUUUUCUUUUUUAAGAAACGAAAGCAGUAGUCGUCUCUCUGUUUUAGGAACCUUCGAGUUUGCACGUAGGUUCCCACGUCCCCUCCUUGCCUCCCGCACACAAAACAUACCCCACAGCAGGACACGCUGCCCUCACUGCCAGCCUGAGGAACAACCACCGCACUGCACACACCACUGAGGCUGUCCCCUUGCCCUGCCUCAGCACCCUCUGCUAUGUGGUGGAGUAUUUCACACACACAUCAACAAGAACACAGGAAAGAGCCCCUUUUGACUCUUGAAUGACACAAUCAGAGAACGCACAGUAUUCCACAUCCUCUCAACAACUGACUGGUUAAUAAAUAGAGAUGCUUGAAAUGAAAACAAGAAUUGGUAUUUGUCAGGACAA